AUUAUUUAUAUAUUUUUUGAAUUGUUUUUAUUAAUAAAGAGAGUGGAAUUUUGAAUUAAUAAGUGUAAUUGUCGUGUGGGGUCAGCAUCUCACGGUGAGGUGUUAAUUGUAUCCUUUCUUUCUGUUCUUCGUCGUUGCAUCUUCUUAUCUUCCCCCCAUGUCUUUGUGUGAUAUGGUUAUGCUUGUUAGUUUCUUUCGUGCGUCGUCAUAUUGUAGUCUAUUUUGUUGUUAUAAGUGUAUGUUUAGUGUAGUUAUUCGGUUUUCAUAAUGUAGUUUUUUUGUUUGAGGUGGAUAUGUGUGUGUUUUUAUUUCUUCUCAUUUUUCGCUAAGUGUUUAUAAGCCAAAAGAUGUUAAUAGUGCUUUGUUCCUGUUUCUUGAUGUUGCUUUUUUUUGGAUUAGUUCCUGUUUCUUCUUUCGACGUUUUGCUUUUAUUUUUUUGUUUGCUGUCCUGAUGUUUUAUUUUCUUAGUGGUUAGAAGAUUUUUGGAGAGAAAAAGGCAUCAAGCAGUGGAUUUUUUUUUUUAUUUUUCCCUAUCGUUUAUUUUAAUUUGUGGUAAGAAACAAAAAUUUUUUUUUGGAGAGGAAAAG